rnacentral:rRNA from 1 species
GACGAACGCUGGCGGCGUGCUUAACACAUGCAAGUCGAACGGAAAGGCCCUGCUUUUGUGGGGUGCUCGAGUGGCGAACGGGUGAGUAACACGUGAGUAACCUGCCCUUGACUUUGGGAUAACUUCAGGAAACUGGGGCUAAUACCGGAUAGGAGCUCCUGCUGCAUGGUGGGGGUUGGAAAGUUUCGGCGGUUGGGGAUGGACUCGCGGCUUAUCAGCUUGUUGGUGGGGUAGUGGCUUACCAAGGCUUUGACGGGUAGCCGGCCUGAGAGGGUGACCGGCCACAUUGGGACUGCGAUACGGACCAGACUCCUACGGGAGGCAGCAGUGGGGAAUAUUGCACAAUGGGCGGAAGCCUGAUGCAGCAACGCCGCGUGCGGGAUGCCCGCCUUCGGGUUGUAAACCGCUUUCGCCUGUGACGAAGCGUGAGUGACGGUAAUGGGUAAAGAAGCACCGGCUAACUACGUG